GGGCGAUUAGCUCAGUGGUUAGAGCGCUCGCCUCACACGCGAGAGGUCCGAGGUUCAAAUCCUCGAUCGCCCACCA
rnacentral:tRNA from 3 species